GGCGCGGUGACGACGACCUCCCCACGGCGAUGACGACCUCGGCGACGACGACGGCGGCGGGUGGUGGCGGCGAGGUCGGGCGCGGCGGAUCCGGCGCGGUGGCGAGCGGCGGCGGCGAGCUCGGUUGCCAUGCACGGCAGGAUGCGGGUUCCGCCGCCGUCUCCGCUCUGGUGCUCUCAGCCAGCCCAGCGACCAGCCUCCCGCUCCCACUCCGGUGCUCCUGGCUGGCCUCCCGCUCCCGCUCCGGCGCUCGUCACCUCGGUUGUUCGUCCCUAGCCCUGCAGCCUUCGCUUCGAUUCCAGCGGAACGCAAUGGCCUUCCCCUGCAGGUAAGGUAAUGAACAGCUGCCUAUGCUUCUCUUCCUCUAGUUGACUAGCGCAUCAGCUCUGUGCCUCUGGUAUCAGAAAUUGGAUUGAAUUUGGUGGGCUCAAAUUUAAUGGGCAUGUUUAGUCUAUCGGGCUCCAACAUUUUAUAUAAACUAUAUUUUUUCUACAUUUCAACAUGUGUGUUCGGCACCCCAUUUCAACUUGUGUAUGCUAUUGGUGCCAUGACUGAAGCUGUAAGUGGAGUGGUUGCUGCAGUUGGUGAACAGGCGAUGAUUGGAAGUUGCCAUCUGUUGUUGCCUUGACUAGAAUGAUUUUGAUGGAUGUAUGUUUGGUAUUACUGAUUAGUGACCUGGUGAUCUGUUGGACUUGUAGGACUUUGGUGGACGUAUUUUGUUGUGAUUCAUUUGUAUGGAUGGUGAAUGUUUAGAACUAUUAUAUGUACAAUUAUAUGGCUGUAUGAACCAUUAAUUUUGGAGGAAAUGAUCUGUUUGGAUGUCUAAUUA